rnacentral:rRNA from 1 species
UAGGGAAUAUUGGACAAUGGGUGAGAGCCUGAUCCAGCCAUGCCGCGUGCAGGAAGAAGGCGUUAUGCGUUGUAAACUGCUUUUGCCAGGGGAUAAAAAGACCGUGCGCGGUUAAUUGAAGGUACCUGGUGAAUAAGCCACGGCUAACUACGUGCCAGCAGCCGCGGUAAUACGUAGGUGGCAAGCGUUGUCCGGAUUUAUUGGGUUUAAAGGGUGCGUAGGUGGCCCUGUAAGUCAGUGGUGAAAUAUCUCAGCUUAACUGAGAGGGUGCCAUUGAUACUGCAGGGCUAGAGUGUGUCAGAGGGAGGUGGAAUUCCGCGUGUAGCAGUGAAAUGCGUAGAUAUGCGGAGGAACACCGAUGGCGAAGGCAGCCUCCUGGGAUAACACUGACGCUCAUGCACGAAAGCGUGGGGAGCAAACAGGAUUAGAUACCCUGGUAGUCCCUGAGCGGGCUGGCAAGGCGCAU